GUUCACCAGCCCGUUCACACAUCUUGUCAGGCGGUUUGUGGAGUGCUUUUGUCACGGUUGAACGGUCCUCCCCGGACGACCUCCUUGUUUAUUUGUGAUGUGUGUGCGCCUUCCUCUCUUUCUCUCUUCCUCCCUAUUCUGCGGGUCGGGCUAUGCCUAGGGGUGGCGUCUCCGAGAGAGCGAGAAAGGCCAACCUCUGACCCGGAAGAGUAACCUUCAGCUCCAGCUGCCGCUAAUCAUUCCUCACUACACGGAGGUAUUUAACGGUGUGUCCAGACGGCAGUCGACGCUGGAUUGUACUCUGAGCUCGGUGGAGAAGUACGGGACGGAGGAGUGGAGAAAAGGGAAUCAAUGGUGUUUUCGGGAGGAGGAAUUCACACGGAAGGAGUGCACACCGACCUCACGGGGAAACUCGCCUUCACCACUUUUGGGAUUUAGAGAAAGGACAUUGUUGGAUAUCUCACUGUUUGAAGACUGUAUUUCAAGCACUGUAAAUAAACGCACUGUCGGCUUCAACCCAGAGCUCUGCGCCUGAAUCCAUACCGCUCAUUAGCCCUGACAGCUUUGGCUUCAUCCCAGUUUGCUGCUCGUUCAUAGUGGCAUCUGCUGACCAACACCGCAGAGGAGCAGGGGGUGAAUGUGUGCACAUGUGUCUUUGUCUUUCUAUGUGUCACUAGUGGGUUGGUGAGAGUGAGUAACUGGAUGGUGUCUGUGUGUGCAUGUGUACACUACCAGUCAAAAGUUUGGACAAACCUCCUCUACUGUUUUUUCUUUAUUUUUACUACUACUGCUACAUUGUAGAUACAAACUGAAGACAUCGAAUAUAUGAAGCAAUAUGUGGAAUUAUGUAGCAAAUAAAAAAUUAUAAGUAACUCUAAAUAUGUUUUGUAUUUUAGAUUCCUGAAAGUAGCCACCCUUUGCUUUGUUGACAGUGCUACAAACACUUUGCCUUCUCCCAAUGAGUUUCAUGAUGAUGUCACCUGAAAUGGUUUUGACUUCACAGGUGUCCCUUGACAAGGUUCAUUUGUGAAACUUCUUACCUUCUUAAUGGAGUUGCGACCGUCAGUUGGGUUGUGCAAAAGUUGGGUUGGUACACAGCUGACAGCCCUAUUUGAAACUGUUAGAAUUCAUAUUAUGGCAAGAACCAAUCAAAUAAAGAGAAAUGACAGUCCAUCAUUACUUUAAGAACUGAAGCACUACAACUGGCUCACGCGAGAAUCGUCCCAGGAAAGGAAGACAAAGAGUCACCUCCGCUAGCUGAGGAUAAAUACAUCCGAGUCAUCAGACUCAGAAAUAGGAAGUUAACAGCAUCUCAGAUUAGACCAGAUAAAUGCCACACAGAGCUCCAGUAGCAGACACAUCUCUACAUCAACUGUUCAGAGGAGACUGCAUGAAUCUGGCCUUUAUGGUCAAAUAGCUGCUAAGAAACCAAUACUAAGGAAAAUGUCUCUUACAGAUCCAGCAGUUGGUGAUACAUCGUGCAUUCCUAUUUGUUUCUGUUCCCCCAUUCAACUCCUGAUGAAGGCACUCAUAUGGCCUUUACUGCUUUGUAUUAACAAAAUUGGCCAGCAAAUAUUUACAUAUUUCUCUUUAUUUUCCAGGUCAGAUAGUAAACACAGCUGUUCUUCUCCUGCCAUCUAUUUUCAAAGAAAAUGCCUCUCAUCUCUUCGUCAUAAAUAAGGAUCCACACAGCCCGAUACCUACAAUCGUACUCAGCAGCAGUGACGGCAAGCCCUUGAGUGAUUCAACUGAGGUCAAUGUCCAGAUGGAUGGACAAAAAAUGAUUCUGGACAGUGGGGAAAUGGACAUUUCAUUGGCGAUGGGUAUUGUCUUCUCCCUGUACCAUGUCUACAAUGUUGCCUAUCCAAGUGAACUAAAAAAGACAUUUUGCUUUUUGGAGGCAUUUGUUCUCAACUUGGGAACUCUGACUACACCUGUACCAGUAGCUGUGCAAAGAGUGGCAAAUGCAUUACGUAAAUAUCUCCUAGAUUGCCAGCAUAGUGCAGGUGAGAGACCGAUAUUGUCCCAAUGUGGACUAACAAAGGACCAUGAGUCCUACAUUAAACUUAACUUACAUAACUUAAGGCUGCAGUUCAUUGAUAAUUUAAAUAAAAAGAUUGUUCUUGAAAUAGUUUUACUGAAAAUGCAAACAUGCUGAUGAAAAUGUGUUGUUUAAUUGUCUGUUAUGAAAGUAUUGCUAUUUCUAAUGUAAUAAUUGUUGUUUUAUCUAUAGUAUAAUAUUUAUAUGUAUUUAUUUAUAGUAUAGUAAAGAUAUUUAAUUAUUACUGUUUAAAUGACUUAUAUGCUAUUAUUAGUAGUGGUGUUGUGCUUAGCGUUAAAAUGCCUUUUUGUCUUUUUCUGUAAUACAAAGUGCCAAUAAACCAUUAAUAUAUGU